rnacentral:rRNA from 1 species
GCGGCAAAAGCUCAAAUUUGAAAUCCCCCGGGAAUUGUAAUUUGAAGAGAUUUGGGUCCGGCCGGCAGGGGUUAAGUCCACUGGAAAGUGGCGCCACAGAGGGUGACAGCCCCGUGAACCCCUUCAAAGCCCUCAUCCCAGAUCUCCAAGAGUCGAGUUGUUUGGGAAUGCAGCUCUAAGUGGGUGGUAAAUUCCAUCUAAAGCUAAAUACCGGCGAGAGACCGAUAGCGAACAAGUACAGUGAUGGAAAGAUGAAAAGCACUUUGAAAAGAGAGUGAAAAAGUACGUGAAAUUGUUGAAAGGGAAGGGCUUGCAAGCAGACACUUAACUGGGCCAGCAUCGGGGCGGCGGGAAGCAAAACCACUGGGGAAUGUACCUUUCGAGGAUUAUAACCCCGGUCUUUACUUCCUCACCAUCCCGAGGCCUGCAAUCUAAGGAUGCUGGCGUAAUGGUUGCAAGUCGCCCGUCUUGACC